AACGAACGCUGGCGGCAUGCCUAACACAUGCAAGUCGAACGGUGUUCCCGCUUCGGCGGGGGCAUAGUGGCGCACGGGUGAGUAACGCGUGGGAACCUGCCCCGUGGUACGGAACAACUCCGGGAAACUGGAGCUAAUACCGUAUGUGUCCCCUUGGCCAAAGAUUGCAUCGCCAUGGGAGGGGCCCGCGUAGGAUUAGGUAGUUGGCGGGGGAACGGCCCACCAAGCCCGCGAUCCUUAGCUGGUCUGAGAGGAUGAUCAGCCACACUGGGACUGAGACACGGCCCAGACUCCUACGGGAGGCAGCAGUGGGGAAUAUUGGACAAUGGGCGCAAGCCUGAUCCAGCAAUGCCGCGUGAGUGAUGAAGGCCUUCGGGUUGUAAAGCUCUUUCGCACGCGACGAUGAUGACGGUAGCGUGAGAAGAAGCCCCGGCUAACUUCGUGCCAGCCGCCGCCGUAA
rnacentral:rRNA from 1 species